UAGCCAACCAUAGACUGAAUUCUAAGGGCUCGAUCUAGAUUAAGUUAACUGACUGAAAUGGGAAUUAAAAACUCAUGACAAUUUUGCCCUAUUUAUUUCAAAGGCAUCCAUAUUCAAAUAACUUAAACUACAGCAGAUGUGCUGUCAGGAACUAACCCUAACUCAAAGAUUUUUUUCUGAAAAGAGGGGCUUCUACAGACAAUCACAUACCCAUUAGAGGUUCUGAGACCUUAGCACUCCAACAACUGUCAGACCUCCCAUUUCAGGAAGCCUCACUGGAUCUUAGUAACUUCCUUAAUAACUCUUCAGACUCAGCUGAGCUGGCUGGUUUUCUUUCCUCAUCCUACAACUCUCCAGAUGGCAGCAGAUCUGAUGGGAAUCUCUGCUGUCAUAGGAACAGCCACCUGGUUGCUAGAAAACCUUAUUGUGAAGAACAUACUCAUGAUUACUCAAAAAACAGGGAAGAGACCCAGUUACUGUACAAACAGUAAACUACCAAAGGUGAAAGAGGAAGGAGUGUUGUAUCUUCUCUGGCAUUUUGUGGAGGUCAUGACUCUAAAGGUCAGAAUUCUGCUGCUUUAUUUAGGGCAACUCAAACGUUGAUGUUCUUGUUACAAAUCGCCUUGAAGACAGAAUCCCUCCUAAUAAUAUGUGAUUUCUGUGCCUCCAUCUGUUGCAAAGCAAUGUGAUAUCUGUUUACAAGGUACAGUACAUGAUUAAGGUGUUAGAAAAGUGCCCAAAUGAGAAAAACUUCCUUGUAAUGGAAAGGACAAAUUGACUCCAUAACUGCCCAUUGGAUCAAGAGCCACUUAGUAAUAGCACAAUUUUCUCUUCAGCAAAAACAGAAAGAAGGAACACUCUGCUCUCAGUUAAGAAGCUUUGGAAGGAUAUGGAGAAUGUACAUAAUAUAAAAUGUUGUGACAAAGAAGCAAAAACUUCCCAAUGAUGAACUUUCUCAAAUAUAUUUAUCCUAGGACAUCUAUCCAGUUUUGAUUGAUCUCCCACCUUCUAUUAGCCUUUAUCCCCAUCUCAUGCCAGGGAAGAUUCCUGAUCUUGUACAGUACUUUUGGGGAAGAACACAUAUACCUUCAGGAAAGCAGAGAAUUCCCAGGGCAUGUAAUUUGGGAGAUACUCUCUUGGUCUCUUCAAAGUAAAUAGCUACUAUGAAUUUUACCAUAUUAAAACUUACUGAACAAUUGUGCAAGGAAGCACAUCAGAACUUAGUCAUACCUGAAAAAUAAGAAUGCCAUAAUAAAAAUAGGAAAACCACCUAACCUAACACUAAGAUUGUGGAGUCUUAUGAAUGAACCAAGUACAUUAAUUUCCAUUUUAAACUUUACAUUUGGAGUCCCAGUAGGGAUCAAAGGCAUUCUUUAGUUUGAUGUAAAGACUUGGUACCAAUGAAUCUUUUAUUCACAAGAUAAUGGUUACUAAUUAAACAGUUUUAUUUUAA